AUUGAACGCUGGCGGCAGGCCUAACACAUGCAAGUCGAGCGAGUGGCGGACGGGUGAGUAAUGUCUGGGAAACUGCCUGAUGGAGGGGGAUAACUACUGGAAACGGUAGCUAAUACCGCAUACCAUCAGAUGUGCCCAGAUGGGAUUCGCGAGCUGGUGGGGUAACGGCUCACCAAGGCGACGAACCCUAGCUGGUCUGAGAGGAUGACCAGCCACACGGGAACUGGGACACGGUCCAGACUCCUACGGGAGGCAGCAGUGGGGAAGAUUGCACAAUGGGCGAAAGCCUGAUAGAGCCAUGCCGCGUGUAUGAAGAAGGCCUUCGGGUUGUAAAGUACUUUCAGCGGGGAGGCGUUACCCGCAGAAGAAGCACCGGCUAACUCCGUGCCAGCAGCCGCGGUAAUAC
rnacentral:rRNA from 1 species